ACAUACAAAUGGCUAUCACCAACAAAAUUUUAAUCGCAUUUGUUUUUACUAUCCUUUGUGUCACAUCUGAUGUUCAUUGUAAUACAUAUGCUAGCCCUCCUACUCAUUGUGCUCCAUCUGCUAGUCCUUCUGAUGACGGUCAAGAAAUAAAAUGCUUCACAUACAAUCAGUGUGCAUUUUGGAAGUCAGGGGAGAGACUCUGCGAUGGUAUGUGUAGACGUCUGAAUCAAUUUUUAUAUGGCAGGUGUGCUACUAACAACAAAUGUUGUUGUUACUAAGCAUGCAUCAAAUAUGAAAUAAUUUGAUCACAUGUAAUGGUAUCUGCAUAAAAUAAUAAAAUAAUUAAUCUUCAUAAAUGGUUUAAAAUCAAUGAAAAAGAUUGAGAUUAUAAAAGAAAA